GACGAACGCUGGCGGCGUGCUUAACACAUGCGAGUCGAACGGACAGGCCCUGCUUUUGUGGGGUGCUCGAGUGGCGAACGGGUGAGUAACACGUGAGUAACCUGCCCUUGACUUUGGGAUAACUUCAGGAAACUGGGGCUAAUACCGGAUAGGAGCUCCUGCUGCAUGGUGGGGGUUGGAAAGUUUCGGCGGUUGGGGCUGGACUCGCGGCUUAUCAGCUUGUUGGUGGGGUAGUGGCUGACCAAGGCUUUGACGGGUAGCCGGCCUGAGAGGGUGACCGGCCACAUUGGGACUGAGGGACGGCCCAGACGCCUACGGGAGGCAGCAGUGGGGAAUAUUGCACAAUGGGCGGAAGCCUGAGGCAGCAACGCCGCGUGCGGGAUGACGGCUUUCGGGUUGUAAACCGCUUUCGCCUGUGACGAAGCGUGAGUGACGGUAAUGGGUAAAGAAGCACCGGCUAACUACGUG
rnacentral:rRNA from 1 species